CCUGACUGUUAUGGGAUAUAGAUUAAAAAAAAAACAAACCCAAACAAAACAAAGAUUUGUCACUUCAACUAUUGUUGUUAUUAAGUAGCCGAUGUGGUUUUAAUUUGAUAAUUGAAUUUGAAUAUCGGGGAGGGGUUAGGCUAGUUGUUGAUUGAAACAGUGUUGUUUAGGAGUGGAUCAUUUAAUUUGAAUCAAAUUUGAAAUUAAAGGAAACGUCACCCCUGAUCACAGAGCACCUGUAUAACCCGUUUAAUGGUAUUGCAAAGCUAUUUCAGCAGAUGGGAGCUAAAUGCAUUGCUUUUCAUGUCCUAGCUCUCCCUGAAGGCUCAAAUAGCGUGCAGUGUUUUGAAAGGAAAUACAGUCUGAAAGCAAAACAAGUAGCUCCACUGACUGAUUGCUAUCACACUGUUUCAUGGUAUACCACAAGUUGCAAAUGGACUUUGUAGACAAUGGCAUACAUUCCUAAUUUUUCUAAAACCUAGACAACAGCAUGUACAGAAUAGAUUUGGAAGCUAGUGUGUGCAAGUUGUCAUCCCUGCAUCACAUCACUUAAGGCUCAUUUCUGAUAUUUCAAUUCUUUAUUUUUAUUUUUAUUGCUUUUUAAUCCAAAAUAGGACACACACAGACACACGCACACAUACACUCGGACACACACACACACACACACACACACAGACGCACGCACGCAACUGCCUGCAACUGCAAUCUGAAGGAUUUGCUCAUUUAUGUGAGCAAACACUUUCGUAGUUGUAUUAUUAAAAGAAUAACUAACUGCAUACGGGGGUCUUAAAAAGACCCGCUGUCGAUUUUAAAAAAAAAAGUGCUACUUUGCACAUUUUCUUAAAAUGCCUGUGCUUGAUAUUUAAUCAUUUUCCUUAAAUGAACUAUGAUUUUCUUUUAUUCAAUUUCAAAGGAAAAAAACAACAACUUUUUUAAAAAAAAUCUUGAUAAGUGGACUGCAUUAUUUUCUUGCAUAUAUGUUGCACUGCUUAAACCAAUAAGUGCACUACUGUUAACAGAGAUAUUAUAGUUUUAGAAAAGAGGAUUUUUUUUUUAAAUCUAACAUUUGGUUGUAGAGUUCACAUGUAAUAGAAUAGCUUUGUUUCAAUUUCUUCAUUAAGUACUUCAGCGAUUCUUGGCUUUUGUUAUUGCUUGCAGUUACCUACAGUAUAUAUACUUGUGCCGUGUUAAUGCAAGCACCUGUUUUUAUUUAAACCUGUACCAUUAUGUGUGCUCAUCUAUGUUUUAACCUUUGAAUUCACUCUUCUAUGGAGUCAGCUCCCUGUAACAGUUUUAUUCAACUGCAUUUCUUAGUAAAAGAGCAGAAUUUUCCUAUGAGAAACAUCCAAGCCAAACAACAUUAACAGUGCAACAACGACAGUAAUAAUAAACAAACUCCCGUCCGACGCUGUUGGCGGAGGUAAAAAAAUAAUAAUAACUAUUAUUAUAUUAUUAAUAAUAAAACAUUUAUAAAGUGUGUGUGUGUAACAUAAAUGGUAUGUGUCCUAGAACAACUUUUUUCUGUGGGGUUUAAAGGUGUAGGGGAGGUGAUGGAAUGCGGCUUCUUUGAUAUCUGUCCGUCAGUCGUACACAGUUGUGUCCCUUCCUUAGUGUCCGUAUGUCUGUGAGUGUCUGUGUGGUAUAUAGCCUAAUCAAAAUGUUGAUAAGUGGAAUAUCUGAACUGUAGGGCUUCCUUUGCAAUAUGCAGCGCAGGUACUAUGAGAAGCAGCUCUCCAAACCUUUUGGGCUAAUAAGGCACCUGUAACAGUUGUUCGGAGGAUUUUACUCAAGCUUAGGUCAAGUACUGUUGACUUCACUGUACCAGAUUGGAGAAGUUGUGUCAAGCAUUUUUGAUGCUAAAUUUCAUAUAAUUGCUACUAGAUUUCACAUCACUGCCGAGUCGGUUUCAGAUGAAGUCAAGUGACGAACAUGUGAGACCCGGUGAUGUCGGGAUUCUGGAUUCUCCUGGUCUGAAACUGAAAUAAAAAUAAAUCGGCCACACUUUAGAAAUACACUGAAAAGCCGUGAGGUUGGUCCUCAGUAAAAGUAGCACAUUAUUUAACAUUUGAUUGGGCCCGUCUCUUACGGUGUGCAUAUAAGCCUAAACUACAUGGUUCCUGUUUGUAGCUGUUGUUGCCAGGAUGGCAAUAUUGCUGCAUGCUAGUGCUAUAUUUGUCUCUACACAGCACGUGGAGGGUAAUCUCAUGCCUUAACAGACAAUGCACUAAAUAGAAAUAUGUAAGCAACUGCCGAGAUCUCUUUCCAACAGUAUUGCCACACGUAUGGCGCACAGCUCAUGAUGUUGGUGUUUGUUGUCUGUUCAGUACCAAAUAAACACUGCCAAACUAACAUCAUCACUUCUUUAACAGCAAAGGCAGAGACAUUAAUGAAAUCGUUUCAGUGUAACGUGUGUAUUCAGUAAUCUAGCAUUCCUUCAUGGCACCGAAAUUUUUACAUAUUUUGUGUAAACACGUAUAUCAAAUGCACUAUUGACUGUAGCUAGAUGAGUACAACCAGCUUUGUGGUAUCAUUGGUCUAAAUAGUAGGUUAAGUAGCUCGAUGUUGGUUUUCUUUUUCUUUUCUCCUCCAAAUAUUUGAUUUCACAAGUUCACUAUCAAUCGUUUCUCUCUAUCACUUCUUUUGGAAUAACAAAAGUAGCCAAUCUCAACGUUAUCUGGAUGAGGGCUAAAUAACUCGUCCCGUCGUCAGUUGACUUCUUGUAUCAUAAGGUGUUUGAUAGCAGACCAGGCUCGGAAGGGGAAGCACCUUCUCUCCAGUGUGUCAUAACGUGCUCAGAGCAUACCCAGGCUUCCUCCCCCUCUGUCCCCUGUCGCAUUAGCAUCACACGCUCUUCACUGUCCAUAGUUAUAUAUUCCUUAUACUGCUUCAGAUACUCGUGGUGGUGCUUAAUUCUCUUUUCUCAGUGUUGCAAAAAAAAACAAAAAAAAAACCCCAAGUCAAAAAUUGUUGAAAAGUUGCAACAUUAUCCAGAAAAAAAAAGUCCUUAUCUCAAUCGUGCUUCUUCUAGUUGUUAGACUAGACUUUAUGUUUGCAAAGUGUACGCAUAUUUUCCUGAACAAAACAUAUUGAAAAGUAGAUACUAGUCUUGAGCCUGCAGCUGUUUGUAUUGUGUUUCAGAUAUAUUCCUGUUUAUGUUUUGUUUAUCGUAGUGUAGAGACACAGGGUCUACAGUACAUUGUUGUCCUUCUUGCAGUAAGUUUAAUUCAUUGUUAUACUUCUUUAUUUCGGAGUUCCUUCUGCUUUUUUCUGGUGGUCAUAGUGGUGUUGUUUAUACAUACAUAGCUUCGCGCGACUGAAUAAAGAAUAGUCGGUUAUUUUUCACAGUGUAUUAUAUAUAUAUGCAUAUACGCUUUGCAUUUAGUUGAAAACAAGGAAAUGGAAGAUAGUAAUGGUGAGGGUGAUACUGAGUAAGGAACAGGUUCAUUUUAUUCUGAUAAGCAUGUGUCUGUCUUCCUGUUUGUCUUUAAGUCUGUCUCCACACAUUUUAAGCCAGAUUUAUUUUAUUUAGGCGCGAAGAAAGUCACAAAAGUAGAAAACACAUGAACGCAUUCAUAUAAUACUUAACAGCUUUUUUAUUUUUUUCGUUGCUUUUUUCGUCCUUCUACAGUACACAUAAGAAUGAAAUAGAUAACUUCUUACAAAUAAACUAUAUAUAUUUUAAGUAUCACCAUCUCCACACAGAUAAAGAAUACAUUUUCAGAUAGUUUGAUAAAAUUGCAGCUAGAAUAUACAAUACCUUGUGUGAUAUAGGGAGUACGCCUAUCAAGUGCCUAUCAGUACAUACAGCAACUAUACAGAAUAUUCAUAGUUUUUCUCUCCUACGUUGCACAAAUACAGAAUAUACACAGUGGACUAAUGAAAAAUAGACUAUUUAUACUAUUACUGCUAAAAACCUGGUGGUUGUGAGUGCAUAAGAGAACCCUUUAAAUACCUGAAAUGUUCUAUUCAUAUACAGUAAAGACUACAUCAGCUAGUUUUAUUUUUUAAACAUACAUGUAUACAGUUUGGAGGAUGAAAAGAUUUAAAAUGCAAUCACGCACGCCUUUGAUUGGUUGGUUUAGAUGGCAGUUGGAAAUUAAAAUAUGAAAUCCUAAUACUGGAUAGCCAUUUUGUUUUCCUGUCACAUUGCUCUCUGUCAUAGAUGAGGCUUUUUUUUUUCCAGUUUUUCACAUUUGCAAACAAGCCAUAUACUGUACUGUACUGUAUGUUUGGGGAGAAAGGGCAGUGGCAUUUUGUGAACAGCAGGGGGAGCCACACAUCAGCCAGAAGAGGUGAAGUUUAAACGAACAAAACAAAAACAAGUAGAAUCGUUGAAUAUUUUUGAUUCUCUUUGUUGGUCAUUAUGGCCGUUGCGUUUUUUCAUAUUACAAUAACAUCUGUGGGAAUGCCACUAGUUGCCUCCUCUGAGACUACAUGAAUGAAAUGGUUUGCAGUCUGUAGGAUCUGAAAGCUGCUUUAAGGUUCUUAGUUGGCUCCAAAGUACACUGUGCGCAAAUCACACCAGGCGUGCUUUGACCUUGAUGGCAGGCCCGUCCAAAUGCAAGCCAAUGCCCAAUUUCCCCACAAUGAUCAUUAAAGUUUUAUCUUAUCUUACAGCCUUGUUAUUUAUGUGCAGCUUGGAAUCGUAAAGGGCAAGCAACGAGCAAUGUGGUUAAAAAAAAAAGAGAAAAGAAAAUGGUUAUUAAACAUUAGAUUGGCCGGUUUUUAUCACCGCAAUUUGGAAAUAAAAAGUGGGAUGCCAAAUUGAAAGUUUUGGCUACAGAUAAACAGCUCUUCCCUGAACAGCAGUCUUUAGGUGCUUGGAUGAACAAAAACUAAGAGAGAAAUACGGCAGAAUGAAAAACCACAAAUCAAGUUUCAGGACCGAGUGGCUCUGAGAUAAAAGGUUUUGUGAUGGCUUAUUAUUUUGUCCCCUGUGGACUAAUUACCACAGUUUUCUCUCUAACCUUCUCCAGCCUAGUUACGGUGCCAAAUUUGGGGAGGAUGAGGGGAGACUUUAAAUUAUAAGAGUAAGAGGGAAGCAGACAAAUAUAAAGAAGAAGAAAAAAAUCUUCAUUUUUUUCUUAAAUGCAAAACCUUUUAUAACAUUAAAUGCAGCAUGCCAAAAGAAAGUGAUUGCCUUUAUUUUGAAUCUUUGAAUCCUCCAUAAUGCAUAGUUUUCAAUUAAAUUAGGAGAAAACAGCUAUGAUUAACAAAUAUACACUUAGUUUCAUAGACAUUUACUGUUAAAAGGAAGCAUCACAAAUAUAGGCAAUGUGAUAUAGCUAGUCCCUGUCAUUCAACCGUCACACUAUGACAUCCUCAGAAACAGUUCUGUUUGAAAUUUAAGGGUUUUGCAGACAUAAUGAAGCAGCUGUUCAGAUUUUCAAGUAGACACAGCUAUACUAAGCUAUUACAAUAUCUAGAUUAUAUUUACUAUUCUCCGAACAUGCAGUUAUUACUCUACCCCAGAUGUGUUGUUUUAGAAAUAAAACACCAUCUUCAGGUAACUACCAUCGAACAGUCCAAAUAAAGCAUGCAGUCCUGUCUACACAGCUUUUUUUUUUUUUCAGUGGAGGAGUACUUUGUUAUCGAGUCCCUGGAUAACACGCAUUCAGUAUCUUUUCUUUAUCACACUGAUGAGGGGACUUGGACUCUGAAGAGCUGAGCCUCUUUGUAUUCUCAGUCACUCAAGUCUUUUUGGCUUAGUUCAGCUGGAUGAGACGAUUAGGUUAAAGGUGUGCAGCAGCGUCAACUAAAAACAUGCAUUCCUGUUCAGAGCAGCACAUUCCAACUCAAACCAAACAUUAAGGAGAAUUCCCAGCACUUAAUCGUUUUUACAAACCCGUGUGGUAGCAGACUUGCUUAUCACAAGUUUAGCAAAAAUUUACAUUUCCCUAAAAAUUAUCCCAUUUCGUUUUUUUUUUUAAUUUCUUAAAUUUUUUUUUAGAUCUCAUCUCGACAUUUAUUUCAAACUUUGCCAUGAGAUCACAAACCCUUAUAAGCUCUGACCACAGCUAACGCUUGUGCGGACUGGUUUUAUAGACAACAUAUACACUAUGCUAUCGUUCUGCCUCUCUCUCUGUGUAGGUCACUCUUUAAUAGUGCAGAGACAUUAGAAAAAGUCGAGGUUCCUCGCCAUGACGUUGGCCGUGGUCUCGGCCAACUCGUGGUCUGCCAUCACUGAAGACUUAGAUGAAAAAUUUCAGCACUAGCACUGUGUCUUCAUAAAACGGGCAGGUUGGGGGUAAUUAGCAAAACGGGGCCAUGGUAAUCAUUAGAAGUUAAAUAAAACAAACAAACAAACCAAAGAAAAGGUUAGGACAAUUUUAAGUUUUUGAAAAAAUGAAUAUUUCUUUAUAAUGUGUGUGGGGUUCCUACAAUUGGGCUAGAUUGCCACCGUUAUUAUUAUUAUUACUAUUAUUAAUAUUAAUAUGAUUGAUUUUCUUUGUUUUUAAUCUCAUGGCAGGGUGCUUGUGAAAAUGCGUAUACGUUAUGUCACUUGUUUAUAGUUUUGUGGUUGUGUUAAUUUGCCUAUUGUAGACCAAAAUAGAUUUUCUUUUUUUAAAAAUAAGAAAUGCAACAAAACAUAAAAAUGAAUCUGACACAAUAGCUGUGAUGUAAACUAUUGCAUGUUAAAACAUGUAUAAGAUUGUAAAUGUUGCAUUGUUCCUCUGGCAAAACAUAAUAAUCAUUGGUUACGUCUUCUAUACACACAUUUAGCAAAUCGGUGUACACUUUCACCUUCACAUUGGAUUGUGUUUAAUAUAUUUAAGGCUGUCCCUAGUAACUAAUCUGACAUUGUAACUUAAGAGUACAUUCAGCCAUUUAUACUUGAGAUGGACCAAGAUGUUAAGUUUGCACAUAUUUGUAAGUUGUUUAUUAAGCCAAAAAAAAAAAAAAUGGAAAAAAAAAAAUUAUACACAACUUUAAGUCUCAGCAACUCAAAUCUAGUUUAGGUGCUCGUCACCUAUUAACAAAUCGACCUUAAUGUUCGCUGAAAGAAAGGCAACAAAGCCGGUUGUCACUGCGCAACAAAAGUAAAUUCAAACCAAACUGUACGAUGGAUUUCAACAUCGCGACGUGAUUAGGUAUUAUUUAUCAAAGUGAUUCAAAAAAAGAGUAUAUUUUUGUAAUAGCGAAUGUAAAUCAUUUGGCAACAAUUAGUUUUAUAACUAUGAGGUCCAAAUCUGGGUAAAAUCUGCUGUAUUUGUUCAUCCUGUGUAUUCAAAAUAGAAAAUUGAAUUACUGUAAUUCAGGCAGGGUUUUUUUUUUUUGUUUUUUUUUUUUAAAUCAAAACCCGGGCCGAAGAUAUUAACAUUUAAAAUCCAAAAUUACACGCACCCUUUUUAAAAAGCAGCUUAGGUUUGAUUUUGAUUUUUCUUCUUCUUCCAUCGUGCUUUCAGGCUUUUUGCUGCCAUAUCAUGUACCUAGAUGCUUUUGUAAACAUGCACAUGAGUUGAAAUUUGAGAUGUGGUUAUAAAUAUGUGUAUAUUUUGUCAGGCUUUUUUUUUUUUUUGCCUAUGUCAGCUUUUGAUUUUGACUAUUUCCCUUCAUAAAAAAAGAAAAAAAAAGACAUCUCUUAUAUAGUUAUGAACUUGGCAGAAGUGGAGCUGUUGUAGUAAAGUUAGUUAACAUCACAACUAAGCAACCCUGAAAUAUAUGCUGCAGUAAUGUGUUCAGUUUGUUUUUGAUAAUUUAUGCUCCAAGUUGGUUUGUAUGUUGUUAUUAUUGUUGUUAUGAAACAAGCUUGUAUGAAAUGUAUUGACUGCUGUUUUGAAAUAGGGGAUAAAGUUUUUUCUUUUCUUUUUUCUUUUUUUAAAUGUAUGUGCAAGGAUGUUUUUAUAAUAUGAUUUGUCAAACACUGGACUGGAGUGAGUUUUCCAACAUUUCCAAGUUGAGAGAUGUAUUUGACAGACAUAACUGCACAGGCAACACCCGUUAGCACCGAUGUGAGCUGACAGACAAAGCACACCCUCCCCCCGCUGUACACGGGAGGGUGAGUAACAUGGCCGCCAUCCUCCCGAUCAAAAUAGGAGUUAUUUGGAUAGAAGGAGUUACCAUAUUUCCUUUUGUGCUGGUUAAUUGCAUUCAGUAGGUGAUGGGUUAUAUAUAAAAAUAUAUAUAUAUAUUUAAUAGGAACUAUUUAUUAGGGAUGUCCUUCAAAAUUGUUGUUAUGGCAUAGACUGGUGACAGAUUUGUUUUUCUUUUCUGGAAAAGAAAAUUCAUAAAGGGAUACCACUUCACAGCUAAGUAGUUGUCAGAAUCACCCGAUAUGUUCUUUCUAGAGCAGAUUUAACAGUUGCCUCUCAUUACACCUACCACCACUUCUCAAACCAGAUAAGAGAUUUGCACUAGACUGAUUUUGGUCUUAUUCUAUCAAAAGCAAUAUAAUUCACACGACACAUAUUUGAACCAUAGUAUGGGACGCUUGUCCUCACCAUGGGAAUGCUGAGUAAAUGGUGAUAUUUGACGUGUUUUACUUUGUUUUGUUUUUUUUGUAUUCAAAGGUACAGAAUUGGUUUUUUAAAUGCACAUGACAUCCAUAUAUUGCUGUUUGUAGCAGGGUUCUUUUUUUUCUCCCCUCGCCCCUUUUUCCUUCUUCUUCUUCUUCUUUUUUUUAUGUUAAAUUUACCCAGCAGUACCCUGAGUAUUAGUGUCCAGAUUUGAGGGGCAUUAAAACUGUUGUUUCCUCCUGUGAUUGUUUUGGACAAAUCAAGCAGCUCUUACAGAUCCGAAGUGAGAGUAGGGAUGUUAUGAGGGAUGGAAUCGUUCACCACGAGUCAGUCGUCUUCAUCACACAAGCCAACAUGUUUAGAAAUAAACACAAAUGCCAAAAGAGAAACCCAGCUGUCCGCCGUCGUGCACACCUUUCCCUUAAAAACUUUGAGUGAUAUUUUUCUGGGAUGUUCCAGAAAAAAAAAAAAUGCUUUAAAACGAAACAAUAAUGAAAAAACGAAAAUCCAAAAUGCAUCUUUUUUUUUUUUUGUUCUUCUUUUCGUCAAUGAACGCACCAUCAUUGGCUGCUUAUGUAGAGAAGCCACCAAAAUGUAUCAUACGUCAUUUUCAAUUAGGGUCAUUUACCGGCAGCAUUAGCGAUCGGCCCGAACGUCACUAUAUUUUUCUGAUAAAUAAGUGUAAAUUUUUCAAAAAUUCACAAAGAGCAAAACGUCACCAUUUUAUCUGGAUGUAGUAGCUUUCCUGUUUUCACCGCUUUGUGGUGUUGUUGAAAGAUGUUGCGGUUUGUCUAAAUUUGUUGCGUGUUAGAGGAAGCAUAAGUAUGUGCCUUCUUGUAAUCUCCUUGGUGAGCUUGUUAUUAUUGAGAAGCUGAAGCCAGCCAAUUGUGUUUGCACUAAAACCAAAUUGCUUUUUGUGAUGUAGACUAUUUAAGCAAGCUUGUUGCGUCACUUUAACCGUACAGUAUGCAUGAGGGUGAAAUUGGUAAGUCUAGGGCUAGAGCUCUCAUCUGUUGACCUGUAAACCAGUGCAGCUUAGAGGAUCUUGUGAAUAUAUCUUGGCUUAGUUUCGCAUUUAGUUUUCAAAUUCCAUCUCCUUACUCAUCCAGUUUUUCACGACAGUUAAAGGUAAAACGAAACAAAAACAGAAAAAACAACACAAAAAAAAAAAUCAAAUAACACAUACCAUUUUACCGAUACAAUACAGCUUUUACUUUCACAUGCCACAGUUAGAGUUACACAACUGCAGAAGAGAUUUUCAUUUUUCUGAAUCCAUGGGAACGCAUGAGUAUACGAGGUCGCCUCGAGACUAUUGGUCAAAUUCAUUUAGGUCGUUUUUGAAGACUUGUAUUUAUUGCAUAUUUCGUUGACAUCUAAGAAAGGCCUACAUCAUGCUUUUGAGUCUUACAAAUGCACCUUAUUCAUGUCAGUCCAUGUGGGGUAAAAAAGGAAAAAAAAAAAAGGCUGGCAGUGUAAUAUCUCUGAUUUUAGCACCUUACUACACAGCAUGUUUUCACUUUAUGCCAGUUUAACUAUUCUUCCAUAUGUAUGAUUUCAAAAAUAAAUCUCAUUCUUUGUGAAAUUGUUUCAUGGGAUGUGCCAAAGUUUGGAGGCGAUCUCCCAAGUGUUUAUGCUUAUCAUAUUUUUUUUUCUCCUCCUCCUUCAGUUAUAGCAAGGGUAUGUCAGAACUUUCCUAUAACAGUGUGUGGAAUCAAUUUAUCUCAGCAAACAGUAUCAUUACUUGCCAUUUUACAAUAAGCCCUGUAUUUCACAUAUAUUUACCAGUGAUGUGUAUUUGUUAUUAUAAAGAAAAUAGCCGUAAAAGCUUCAUUAUGUUACAUAAUAUUGUGACUUUUUUCGAAAAACUGUGAAGACUUAUCUUGCAUAUACUUUAUACAGAAGUAUUAAGCCUUAAUACAAAAGACUAAAAAAAGUGUGGAAGAAUAAACUGAUUGUUGCUAAGUAAGGAUGAUUUUUGUAAAUGUUACCAGCACUUUUUUUGUAAUUUUCACUCUCUGAGGUAUUGUACAAGUUCAAGCUGUUUGUGAAGUUUGAUUAUGAAGGAAUAAAAACUAGUACUUUCCUGUACUUCACAGAAA
ensembl:lncRNA